rfam:Microbacterium sp. STBG005 Ion018_assembly_rep_c4619, whole genome shotgun sequence.
AAAUUGAAGAGUUUGAUCAUGGCUCAGAUUGAACGCUGGCGGCAGGCCUAACACAUGCAAGUCGAACGGUAACAGGAAGCAGCUUGCUGCUUUGCUGACGAGUGGCGGACGGGUGAGUAAUGUCUGGGAAACUGCCUGAUGGAGGGGGAUAACUACUGGAAACGGUAGCUAAUACCGCAUAACGUCGCAAGACCAAAGAGGGGGGACCUUCGGGCCUCUUGCCAUCGGAUGUGCCCAGAUGGGAUUAGCUAGUAGGUGGGGUAACGGCUCACCUAGGCGACGAUCCCUAGCUGGUCUGAGAGGAUGACCAGCCACACUGGAACUGAGACACGGUCCAGACUCCUACGGGAGGCAGCAGUGGGGAAUAUUGCACAAUGGGCGCAAGCCUGAUGCAGCCAUGCCGCGUGUAUGAAGAAGGCCUUCGGGUUGUAAAGUACUUUCAGCGGGGAGGAAGGUGUUGAGGUUAAUAACCUCAGCAAUUGACGUUACCCGCAGAAGAAGCACCGGCUAACUCCGUGCCAGCAGCCGCGGUAAUACGGAGGGUGCAAGCGUUAAU